GCCUGGCUGGCUCAGUUGUUGGAGCGUGUGACUCUUGACCUCUCGGGGUUGUGGGUUCGAGCCCCACAUUGGGCG
rnacentral:tRNA from 1 species